rnacentral:rRNA from 1 species
UACAGAGGGGGCAAGCGUUGUUCGGAAUUACUGGGCGUAAAGGGCGCGUAGGCGGCCUGUUAAGUCGAACGUGAAAUCCCCGGGCUCAACCCCGGGAACUGCGUCCGAUACUGGCAGGCUUGAAUCCGGGAGAGGGAUGCGGAAUUCCAGGUGUAGCGGUGAAAUGCGUAGAUAUCUGGAGGAACACCGGUGGCGAAGGCGGCAUCCUGGACCGGCAUUGA